rnacentral:rRNA from 1 species
GACGAACGCUGGCGGCAUGCCUAAUACAUGCAAGUCGAGCGAGCAGAUGAAGUGCUUGCACUUUUGACGUUAGCGGCGAACGGGUGAGUAACACGUAAGGAAUCUACCUAUAAGCGGGGGAUAACAUUCGGAAACGGGUGCUAAUACCGCAUAAUAUCUUCUUCCGCAUGGAAGAAGAUUGAAAGACGGCUCUGCUGUCACUUAUAGAUGACCUUGCGGUGCAUUAGUUAGUUGGUGGGGUAACGGCCUACCAAGACGAUGAUGCAUAGCCGACCUGAGAGGGUGAUCGGCCACAUUGGGACUGAGACACGGCCCAAACUCCUACGGGAGGCAGCAGUAGGGAAUCUUCCGCAAUGGGCGAAAGCCUGACGGAGCAAUGCCGCGUGAGUGAAGAAGGCCUUCGGGUCGUAAAACUCUGUUAUAAGAGAAGAACAAAUUGUAGAGUAACUGCUACAGUCUUGACGGUAUCUUAUCAGAAAGCCACGGCUAACUACGUGCCAGCAGCCGCGGUAA